rnacentral:rRNA from 1 species
CACGUGAAGAAUCUGCCCUCCACUUUGGGAUAACUCCGGGUAAACCGGGGCUAAUACCGAAUAUUGAAACAUAAGUGGCAUCACUGAGUUUUGAAAGAAUUUCGGUGGAGGAUGACUUCGCGGCCUAUCAGCUAGUUGGUGAGGUAAUGGCUCACCAAGGCGACGACGGGUAGCCGGCCUGAGAGGGCGACCGGCCACACUGGGACUGAGACACGGCCCAGACUCCUACGGGAGGCAGCAGUGGGGAAUAUUGGGCAAUGGACGCAAGUCUGACCCAGCGACGCCGCGUGCGGGAUGAAGGCCUUCGGGUUGUAAACCGCUUUCAGCAGGGAAGAAGCGAAAGUGACGGUACCUGCAAAAGAAGCACCGGCUAACUAUGUGCCAGCAGCCGCGGUAAUACAUAGGGUGCAAGCGUUGUCCGGAAUUAUUGGGCGUAAAGAGCUCGUAGGUGGUUAGUUACGUCGGGUGUGAAAAUCUGGGGCUCAACCCCAGACCUGCACUCGAUACGGGCUAGCUAGAGUUUGGUAGGGGAGACUGGAAUUCCUGGUGUAGCGGUGGAAUGCGCAGAUAUCAGGAGGAACACCAAUGGCGAAGGCAGGUCUCUGGGCCAAUACUGACACUGAGGAGCGAAAGCGCGGGG